rnacentral:hammerhead_ribozyme from 2 species
AACUGGUCGGGAGCUCUUGACGUUCCCUGAUGAGCCCAUGACAGGGCGAAACCAGUU